rnacentral:lncRNA from 1 species
UUCGUAUUUAUAAAAGUAUAUGUGAUUCGAUAAAAUAGUAUAUUUUAACUCAAGGUUUUAAGUGCUCGUCGGCACGGGGUGUAUCCACCGUGCCGUACCGUACCAACAAGAUACCGGCACGAUACAAACCCUGUGCCGAUGGCACAGCUCAAAACUCUCUAUUCUUUAAAUUAGUAAGUAAUUUUCUAAAUAAAGUUCAAAAGAUGUGAUAAAAAGACCUAAUAAAUAGUUAGAAUAUUUUGUUGCUAAAAAAAAUAAAUAUUUCAUGUUAUUAUGUGUCAGCACACAAAAAUUUUUUUGACCGGCACGCAUCGACACAGCUCGACACGCACCGUGCCAUACCAUGCCGACAAGUUUCCGGCGCGACCCCUUGCCACGGCACUUAAAUCCUUGUUUUAACUACUAUGUCACCAAAAUCAAAC